UACGUAGGGCGCAAGCGUUGUCCGGAUUUAUUGGGCGUAAAGAGCGUGUAGGCGGCCAGGUAGGUCAGCUGUGAAAACUCGAGGCUCAACCUCGAGACGUCGGUUGAAACCAUCUGGCUAGAGUCCGGAAGAGGAGAGUGGAAUUCCUGGUGUAGCGGUGAAAUGCGCAGAUAUCAGGAAGAACACCCGUGGCGAAGGCGGCUCUCUGGGACGGUACUGACGCUGAGACGCGAAAGCGUGGGGAGCGAACAGG
rnacentral:rRNA from 1 species